AGAGCAGGACAAAUGGCCGCUGCUUGCCUUAUGGGCAAAGGGGAGGAAAGUCCGGGCUCCAGAGGACAGGGUGCUGGGUAACGCCCAGUCCUGGCGACAGGAAGGAAAGUGCCACAGAAAGGAAACCGCCUCGACGGAUAUCUGAGAUAUGCGGCGGGGUAAGGGUGAAAAGGUGAGGUAAGAGCUCACCAGUCCCGUCGGUGACGAUGGAAGCUAGGCAAACCCCACCAGGAGAAAGACCAAAUAGGGGAGCGAUUGAGGGUGGUCCGCCCGAGUUCCCGGGUAGGUCGCUCGACCUCGAUGGUAACGUCGAGGCUAGAUGAAUGGUCAUUGUCCCGCAAGCGGGUGACCGCUUCGGGAAACAGAACCCGGCUUACGUCCUGCUCUAACA
rnacentral:RNase_P_RNA from 1 species